rnacentral:rRNA from 1 species
AUGAAUGGUGAUGAUGGUGUGUGGCAUGUUUGCAAAAAGGUCUCAUCCACUCCUAUAUGCAAAAAAGAUCCCGUCUCUCUGGACCAGCCGCAUCCCUUCUCACCCCAUCUUAACACACUUCCGAUAUCCUUUUUGAUAUAUACGUACCAAACUCUAUUUCAAGUUUGUGAAUAUGUAUUGGUCCAUUUUGAAUGUGUUGACACUUUUCCUUGCUUUUGGGGAGGAAGCACAGGCAUUUUGAGCUAUGCUCACGGCGCGCAAAAGAACAUGACUUUGGCACCUUCAAAUAUUUCAAUGUAA